rnacentral:tRNA from 1 species
GCCUGGGUGGCUCAGUCGGUUGAGUGUCUGACUUCAGCUCAGGUCAUGAUCUCACGGUUCGUGAGUUCAAGCCCCGCGUCGGGCU